GCUGGGCACGGUGGCGCGUGCCUGUAAUCCCAGCUACUCGGGAGGCUGAGGCAGGAGAAUUGCUUGAACCCAGGAGGCGGAGGUUGCAGUGAGCUGAGAUUGGGCCAUUGCACUCCAGCCUGGGUAACAAGAGCGAAACUCUGUCUCAA
ensembl:misc_RNA Metazoa_SRP Metazoan signal recognition particle RNA